rnacentral:rRNA from 1 species
CUCCGGGGCUUACUCCGCUGAAGAAAAAUAAGGAAGAUUUUCCCCUUCAGGGUUUUUGGGUAUCCCGCUGAAAAUAAGCAUAUCAAUAAGCGGAGGAAAAGAAACUAACAAGGAUUCCCCUAGUAACUGCGAGUGAAGCCGGGAAAAGCUCAAAUUUAAAAUCUGGCGGUCUUUGGCCGUCCGAGUUGUAGUCUGGAGAAGUGCUUUCCGCGCUGGACCGUGUAUAAGUCUCUUGGAACAGAGCGUCAUAGAGGGUGAGAAUCCCGUCUUUGACACGGACUACCAGUGCUUUGUGAUGCGCUCUCAAAGAGUCGAGUUGUUUGGGAAUGCAGCUCAAAAUGGGUGGUGAAUUCCAUCUAAAGCUAAAUAUUGGCGAGAGACCGAUAGCGAACAAGUACCGUGAGGGAAAGAUGAAAAGCACUUUGGAAAGAGAGUUAAACAGUACGUGAAAUUGCUGAAAGGGAAACGCUUGAAGUCAGUCGCGUCGGCCGGAACUCAGCCUUGCUUUUGCUUGGUGCACUUUCCGGUUGACGGGCCAGCAUCGAUUUUGACCGUCGGAAAAGGGCUAGAGUAAUGUGGCACCUCCGGGUGUGUUAUAGACUCUAGUCGCAUACGGCGGUUGGGAUCGAGGAACGCAGCGCGCCGCAAGGCAGGGGUUCGCCCACUUUCGCGCUUAGGAUGCUGGCAUAAUGGCUUUAAACGACCCGUCUUGAAACACGGACCAAGGAGUCUAACAUACCUGCGAGUGUUUGGGUGGAAAACCCGAGCGCGUAAUGAAAGUGAAAGUUGGGACCUCUGUCGUGGAGGGCACCGACGCCCGGACCUGACGUUCUCUGACGGAUCCGCGGUAGAGCAUGUAUGUUGGGACCCGAAAGAUGGUGAACUAUGCCUGAAUAGGGUGAAGCCAGAGGAAACUCUGGUGGAGGCUCGUAGCGAUUCUGACGUGCAAAUCGAUCGUCUAAAUUUGGGUAUAGGGGCGAAUGACUAAUCGAACCAGUCUGGUAGCUGGUUCCUGCCGAGUUUCCCUCAGGAAGAACACCAUGCUAGGGAAAAAUGUUUCCAUUUAGUUCUUUCGCCCUAUACCCAAAUUUGAAGAUCGAUUUUGCACGUCAGAUCGCUACGAGCUCCCAAAAUUUCUCUGGCUUCACUUAUUUCGGGCAUAAGUACAAUUUUUCGGGUCCCAAUAAAUGGUCUCACCCGGACUACUCAAAAAGAUAGAGGUCGUGCUGGUUCCCACGAAAAGACCCCCUAUCUUUUAUCAGUGGUUUCUCUCACACCAGAGAUGAU